rnacentral:lncRNA from 1 species
GGGGGCUGUAUAUAAGCAGGUGGCAGUGCCCACACGUUGCAUGGUGAGCCGAGGAGGAGGAGGGGGAGGCGGCCUGUCCCGCUCUCCUCUCUCUCGCGAUGCAGACACGGCGUUGGCGACAACAAGCCCCCAUGUCCUCGCCACGUCAUGCUAACUAUAGACGCUAAUACCUUAGAGAAAGCAGCAGUUUACACAGUGCAAGCCCCGAUGAGCUAUGAUAUUGAAGUCAUCUAGGCUAUAGAGUUGAAUAUGCACCUUCAGCCGAUCUAGUUCACGUCGACAUAUCGUGUCAAUAAAAUUGGUUAUUGGACAUCUACCGGACUAAUGUUUCUGUCAUCACGUACACACGGCAGUGAUCAGUCAAGGUAGAUACCCCUGCACUCCUCUAGAGUGUGGUAAGGUUCAAGGCCACUCUGAAGAUAUAGACAACACACUCCACCUGUCAUCGACCAACGCUCUUGUACAUGUUCUUGGUUUCUUUCACACUACACGCAUUCGUUCUUGACUCAAACGCGUUCGUUCAUCGUAUGGUUACACUUCUAUUUAGCUUGGUAUCGAACAAUUUGUGAAUUAAUGUCCUUUCCGCUGAACAGCAGCUGGUUCACGUACUGGAACCCAUUGAUUUACUCUCUCGCUGUAUGCGCCUGGGUCACGUACUGGAUGAUUUACUCACGUGCUCUCAGAUAUAUGAUAUCAUUAUGCAGAUGGGUCACGCAGGUGUCCAUGACAGCAUAACAGCCCGACAAGAGCCAUGCAUGUACCACGUGUCAACAUUAUAUGCGCAGCGCACAUAAACACAUGCCUUCUUUCCCGCAGUGGCAGUUCGACUUGCACGUUACAAGCUUACUCAUAACAUGUUACCAUUCAAACAACUGUCUGAAGUCUAAUUAUGGACGUUAAAACCCGUUGGUAUCUGUAUGUCAGUUGUCAAAUGGCAGAUGGACUGGUCAUUUAUUUUUAUUUAUUUGGGGUGUUUGGGUAUGAGACAUUGAAACAUUAGCGAAAGGAGGGGAUUUGGGGUCGCCAUAGUUUAUCACAAAUGUACCGUGGACCAAGUUUUGUCGAACCCAGGAUCUUAACUAGUAGUCCAUGUGAAUAGACCGUGUUAUCUUUCCGCAACGUUUACCCUUAAACGACAGUAGCUGUGUAGCUCAUCCCAUAGUUUUCGGACAGAAGCCAUGUACACGCUGCAGCAGUUUCGCAGUAUCAUCUGGUUAUACAUGAGGGCAUAAUUGUAUCCAUCACAAUUUGUAAUCCCGCAACAUACAUGUAGUUAACAAGGAGGUCAAUGACUAAUGGGAAUUUGUAUUAUUGUCGCAUGAACAUAUACUAGUAUAUAAUAUAAAGAGUUCAAACAAGACGGAAGGGAACGAAUCAUACAAACCAUCUCGCGCUAAUCCUUGUAAACAAUCAGGAAUGGAGCUUGCCAUGUCCUACCUACAUGUUCAAACAUUUCUUGACUUAAAACAAUUUCAUGUUACAAUUUCAGAUUAGUCCCAGCUUGCGGCCGACAAGGUUCAUACAGCAAUAUUUGAAUGAAUACCAAUGCGUCUUUAAUAGAUGUGUUCGAAAGUUGAUGGUUUAUCAUGUUGCGAUUUCUACUCAUUGAAAACUCAUACUAGCUUCCGACAGCUUCUACUCAUUGUAUACCCAUGGCAGCUUGCAAUAGCUUUACAACUGUACAGGACUUGUAUUGUUUACGUUGCAUACACUGUCUUAUCGGUAGACGGGGCAUACAUUUUUUAGGUAGAAAGACAGCAGAACUAAUGUACUUGCAUACGAUAUCAAUCUGUUAAAAAAAAUUUCUCUUGAUGUCCGUGUUUAUUUGCUUAUCUCGCAUAUAUAACAUGAAUAAUGAAAUAUUUAACAGAGCUUUGAGUCCUGUAUUUUCAAGAAAAUCCAAAAGUUGCUGUUGCUUAUCAAAGCAUUGUAUAGUAAUGUGACAAUAUCCGUCUCGAUAGUUUACAUUUCAAGCCGGUAAUAUCUAGACUUUGGCUUUGCACAUAAUGGCUAUAUUUGUAAUGAACAAUAUCAGAACUACCUGUUUGUCUGUGUGUUAGUAUGGUUUUUGUUUUGUCUUUAAUCAGUGGGAAAUGGCUGACAAUUAGUUGCAAGUUCAAAGUAGUAAGUAGUUUGCGAAAUAAAGGGUAGAAUUGCGUAUAUUUAACAUGUUUUCGUGAUAACAUUAAGGAAUGGUAUGAUGCACUUUCUGAGUAAGCACAUAUUUAUAAGACAUAAAACUAAACACACUUGACAUGUACAUGAAGAAAUAACACCAAUCUCUCGGCUAUGGUCAUAGAUCACCGCCUGUGAAAAUGUGUAUGUUUGAUGUUUUUCGUGUUUACUGUUUAUUUACGAAAAUCCACCAAUGGAGGAAAAGCUAUUUUGACAUGAUGCCGUGCCCUAAUGUAUAAGAACUACAAUGUGAUACAAUCCUCUCUUGACUGAUCUUUUGCGGCCUUGAGCUAUCCUUUGCACAGACAUACAUUUUAAGCAUAUUUAAGCUACUUGCCUAUUUAUUGCUCUGUUCUGACAGAUAACUCAUAAUUCACUCUAGAAAGUAAGAUGCACAUACACACCCGAAAUAUAGAGCUAUGAAACUAAAACUAACAAAAUACUGUAUCAAGUUAUUGUCUAAAAGAGCAGGUGUCGGACGUACCUAAAUCUCCUUGUUCCUGGGGGCGGUCGGGUAGCCUAGUGGUUAAAGCGUUCGCUCGUCACGCCGAAGACCCGGUUCGAUUCCCGACAUGGGUAUAAUGUGUGAAGCCCAUUUCUGGUGUCCUCCGCCGUGAUAUUGCUGGAAUAUUGCUAAAAGCGGCGUUAAUAAAUACUCACUCACUUCUUGUUACUGCUGUUAUUGUACAUUCAUCCUCUGAAUGUAUAGGCUUGUAUUAAGCUCGCUUUGUCCUCAAUAAUCUGAUCAAAACAAUACAAUCUCCGUCUUAUACUAAAAAAAUUAUCCAUGUAUAUGUAGAGUCUUGCGUUUUGAUAUAAUCUUGUGCAUGUCUUGUAUGGUUUGGAAAGUUGAAGACAAUUAUUUGCAUUCAAACUAGUACGUCGUUUGCGAACUACAGGGUAGAAUUGUGUGUUUAUAACAGGGUUGGCUUUCAUGGUAAUCUUGGGGAGUGCUGAUAAUGGUGUGAUGUAACAUUUGUUGAUAACCACACUUCUUAAGAAAGCACACAUUUAAAAUGCAACUAACUAACUCACUCUUUUGUGGAAACAACACCAGCGUCUUAACUAUGAUAUCACAUUACUAUCUUGAAAAUGUGCAUGUUUGAUGUAUUUAUGUUGCUGCUGUUUAUUUGACGAAACUCCAAUACAUAGAAGAAAAGCUAUUCAUACAUGAUAUACCGUGAUAUAUUAGAACGAACAACUCCAAUGUGAUUGUCACAAUAUUCUCUUGACUGAUCUUUUUCUGGCCCUGAGAUAUCCCUUGAACACACAUACAUUUCAAGUAUAUUUAAUGGACUUGAAUACUAAUACUCUUAAUUUAAUCCGAAUUGUAGUGACAAAUGUGUCCUAAUUCAAUUGUAGAAAGUAUGAGAAAGGUGUAUUCAAUUCCAACCCAAAAUAUAGAGUUUUCAAACUAACGCUAAUCCAACAAACUACCGUUUCAAAUUAUGGUUUUGUUCAAUGAACAUGUCCCUGGUACAUGGAAAAGCAAUGACUUUGAAAUGUUUUAUCACUGAAUGCAAAGGUAUAUUGAAAGGAAGUUCAUAGUAAUACUACCACUUCCCCUUAUAAUUGUACCUUCAUCUCCUUGUUAUUGCUGUUAUAGUAGCACUUCUUUUAAUAGAAUUUCCACGUUACAUGUGUAUCUCUACUAAUGGCCAAAUAGGAUAGUGUAAAAGUGAAAAACUGAUUUGCGCAUGCAUUGAGCGCAAAUGCCCGAUGUCGAUUUCAUAGAAUAAAUCUGAGAGCAAAACCAACUUUGAAAUGCUUGUUUCAGCCACUUAGAGAAAUGGCAAAUAUAAUCUUAUGCUAUUAACGUUGACACAAUCGACUUAUAAUGCCGACAAUGUGUUUUCAACUGGUAUUUAAAAUAAAAGAAAACCAUUUAUUCAUAAUUCCAAUGUAUAUUCUUGUAUUUUUCACGCUUUGAUGGCUACAAUCUGACCCAAACCCCGCAAUUCAGUCUUACACCCAUAAAUGAACAAUGUGUAUGUAGAGUACGAAAGUUCAUUCCACAGAGUUCAUUUCACAGAGUAAAAGUUAAUCAGACUUGAUUUCAUGCCCUGAUGUAUUAGAACAACUACGAUGUGAUACUCACAAUGCUCUCUUGACUGAAUUGGAGUGACAAAUGUGUUACAAUUCAAUGGUAGAAAGUAGUAUACACAUGCAUUUAAUUCCCUACCGAAAGAUAGAGUUUUCAAAGUAAAGCUAUUGUAAGAAAAUACCGUAUCAAAUUAUGGUUUUGUUCAAUGAACGAUAUACAUGGAAACGCAAUGACUUUGACCAUGUUUUGUCACUGAUUGCAUAUGAGCACAUGGAGGCAAGUGCAUAGUAACAUAACCCCUUCCCCUAUACCUGCAUCUCCUCCUUGUUACUGCUGUUAUAAUAGCAUAUGGUCUAAUUUGAUUCACACGUAACAUCUUUAUCACUCUAAGGGACCAUGUAGGAUAGUGUAAAAGUGAAAAAUGAUGUGCGAAUGACUUGGAUAUGUUUGAAAGUGUAGUCAUCCUUUGGUAAGAAAUGCCAUUUACUCCUUUUAUUCUUUAUCCUGAAGCCAAACAUGCAACACAAUGUUGACGAUAUGAAUCUGUUGAAAGUGUUUGACUCAUGGUGUCCGUCUUUGUUUGGUUAUCCCUCAUACAUAACCUAAAUUAUGAAAGAUAACCAGAGGUUUGCUUGGUGUUUAUGAUAAUGGUCCAAAGUCGUCGCCCUAAUAUACAAUAUUCUCCCUGUCUGGGAAGCGCAAAUGCACGAGGUAGAUUUCAUAGAUAAAUCCGACUGCAAAACCAACUUUGAAAGUAGUGUUUCAAGUACGUAAAGAAAUGACAAAUAUGAAUCUUAUGCCAUUAACGCAUUCGACUUAAAAUACCGAAUCUACUUCCAGUGGGUUUUCAUCUGGAAUAUAUACCGAGUAUUUAUGAAAUCCAUUCAUUCAUACUUCCAAUGUAUGUGAUUGUAUUUUGCACGCUUUGUAGUCCACAAUCUCAGCAAAUCCCACGAUGUCCUUCUUACACCCAUAAAUGAUCCAUGUUUGUGUAGAGUAUGUGUUUUGGUAUAAUUUUGAGUGUGUCUUCAACGGGUUGGAAAGGGAAAGACAACUAUAUGCAUGAUCAAACUGGUGUGUGGUUUACGAAAUAGAGGGUAGAAUUGUGUGUAUAUAACAGGGCUGGUUUUCAUGGUAUAUUGGUAUUGAAUGCUGAUAAUGGUGUGAUGAAACUUGUGUUGAUAAACAGACUUCCUAAGAAAGCACCCGUGUAUGAACCAAAAAACUAAACUCACUCUUUUGUGGAAAGAACACAAACCUCUUAGCUAUGGUGUCACAUAUUACUUUCAUGAAAACGUGCAUGUUUGAUGUAUCUGCGUUGUUACUGUUAAUUGGACGAAAGUUCAUUCCACAGAAUAAAAGCUAGUCAGACUUGAUUUCAUGCCCUGAUAUAUUAUAACAACUACAAUGUGAUACUCACAGUGCUCUCUUGACUGACUGAUCUUUUUCGGUCCUGAGCUAUGUUUUGUACAGACAUACAUUUUAAUAUAUUUAAUGGAUUUGAAUACUAAUUGCUCUUAAAUUACUCCCAAUUGGAGUGCCAAAUGUGUUACAAUUCAAUGGUAGAAAGUAGUAUACACAUGCAUUUAAUUCUCACCCGAAAGAUAGAGUUUUCAAAGUAAGGCUAUUGUAAGAAAAUACCGUAUCAAAUUAUGGUUUUGUUCAAUGAACGAUGUACAUGGAAACGCAAUGACUUUGUCCAUGUUUUAUCACUGAAUGCAUAUGAGCACAUGGAGGCAAGUGCAUAGUAACAUAACCCCUUCCCCUUAUACCUGCAUCUCCUCCUUGUUACUGCUGUUAUAAUAGCAUAUGGUAUUAUUUGAUUCACACGUAACAUCUUUAUCACUCUAAGGGACCAUGUAGGAUAGUGUAAAAGUGAAAAAUGAUGUGCGAAUGACUUGGAUAUGUUUGAAAGUGUAGUCAUCCUUUGGUAAGAAAUGCCAUUUACUCCUUUUAUUCUUUAUCCUGAAGCCAAACAUGCAACACAAUGUUGACGAUAUGAAUCUGUUGAAAGUGUUUGACUCAUGGUGUCCGUCUUUGUUUGGUUAUCCCUCAUACAUAACCUAAAUUAUGAAAGAUAACCAGAGGUUUGCUUGGUGUUUAUGAUAAUGGUCCAAAGUCGUCGCCCUAAUAUACAAUAUUCUCCCUGUCUGGGAAGCGCAAAUGCACGAGGUAGAUUUCAUAGAUAAAUCCGACUGCAAAACCAACUUUGAAAGUAGUGUUUCAAGUACGUAAAGAAAUGACAAAUAUGAAUCUUAUGCCAUUAACGCAUUCGACUUAAAAUACCGAAUCUACUUCCAGUGGGUUUUCAUCUGGAAUAUAUACCGAGUAUUUAUGAAAUCCAUUCAUUCAUACUUCCAAUGUAUGUGAUUGUAUUUUGCACGCUUUGUAGUCCACAAUCUCAGCAAAUCCCACGAUGUCCUUCUUACACCCAUAAAUGAUCCAUGUUUGUGUAGAGUAUGUGUUUUGGUAUAAUUUUGAGUGUGUCUUCAACGGGUUGGAAAGGGAAAGACAACUAUAUGCAUGAUCAAACUGGUGUGUGGUUUACGAAAUAGAGGGUAGAAUUGUGGGUAUAUAACAGGGCUGGUUUUCAUGGUAUAUUGGUAUUGAAUGCUGAUAAUGGUGUGAUGAAACUUGUGUUGAUAAACAGACUUCCUAAGAAAGCACCCGUGUAUGAACCAAAAAACUAAACUCACUCUUUUGUGGAAAGAACACAAACCUCUUAGCUAUGGUGUCACAUAUUACUUUCAUGAAAACGUGCAUGUUUGAUGUAUCUGCGUUGUUACUGUUAAUUGGACGAAAGUUCAUUCCACAGAAUAAAAGCUAGUCAGACUUGAUUUCAUGCCCUGAUAUAUUAUAACAACUACAAUGUGAUACUCACAGUGCUCUCUUGACUGACUGAUCUUUUUCGGUCCUGAGCUAUGUUUUGUACAGACAUACAUUUUAAUAUAUUUAAUGGAUUUGAAUACUAAUUGCUCUUAAAUUACUCCCAAUUGGAGUGCCAAAUGUGUUACAAUUCAAUGGUAGAAAGUAGUAUACACAUGCAUUUAAUUCUCACCCGAAAGACAGAGUUUUCAAAGUAAGGCUAUUGUAAGAAAAUACCGUAUCAAAUUAUGGUUUUGUUCAAUGAACGAUGUACAUGGAAACGCAAUGACUUUGUCCAUGUUUUAUCA